rnacentral:rRNA from 1 species
AACGAACGCUGGCGGCAUGCCUAACACAUGCAAGUCGAACGAAGGCUUCGGCCUUAGUGGCGCACGGGUGCGUAACGCGUGGGAAUCUGCCCCUCGGUUCGGAAUAACAGUUAGAAAUGACUGCUAAUACCGGAUGAUGACUUCGGUCAAAAGAUUUAUCGCCGUGGGAUGAGCCCGCGUAAGAUUUAGUAGUUGGUGGGGUAAAGGCCUACCAAGCCGACGAUCUUUAGCUGGUCUGAGAGGAUGAUCAGCCACACUGGGACUGCGAAACGGCGCAGACUCCUGCCUGAGUUCGCAGUGAUGGAUAUUGGAGGAUGGGUGAGAGACUUUUCCGGAGGUCCUGAGUGAGUGAUGAAUGCGUUACCGGUGUAAAGAUCUUUUACUAGGGGUUAUGCUAAGAGUACCUGGAGAAUCAGCGAGGGCGCUCACCGAGGCAGCAACUGUAGUAA